CUGGGGCAUGGCCACAUUCCCACAUGGGAAUGAUAUAUGUUUGUGGAUGUCACUGGUGACAACGUCCAAAUCUGGGCUGGGGCAUUUCCCUCAGCCAAUAAACCAGGGAACACACUUCUGUAAAAUGACUGCAUUCACUGAGAAAAGAGACUGCACUAAGAUGUCCAAGAAAAUCAGCAAAAAGGCAAUCAAUCUUCUGAUUUGGCUAUUCUCUACUUUUCCCUAUAAAGUAGAACCUACAGAUACACUCAGAAAAUAUGUAUGGAAGUACCUCUCAACUGAAAAAUAUUGUUACUCAGAAGAUCGAAGCAUGACUGUCUACACUGCGUGAAUUAAACAUAUAUGAAUAAGGA